ensembl:lncRNA
GGGUACCGGUACAGAGUCAAUGUGGAGGCUAUAUACAGGGGGUACUGGUACAGAGUCAAUGUGGAGGCUAUAUACAGGGGUACUGGUACAGAGUCAAUGUGGAGGCUUUAUACAGGGGGUACUGGUACAGAGUCAAUGUGGAGGCUAUAUACAGGGGGUACUGGUACAGAGUCAAUAUGGAGUCUAUAUACAGGGGGUACCGGUACAGAGUCAAUGUGGAGGCUAUAUACAGGGGUACUGGUACAGAGUCAAUGUGGAGGCUAUAUACAGGGGUACUGGUACAGAGUCAAUGUGGAGGCUAUAUACAGGGGGUACUGGUACAGAGUCAAUGUGGAGGCUAUAUACAGGGGGUACCGGUACAGAGUCAAUGUGGAGGCUAUAUACAGGGGGUACUGGUACAGAGUCAAUGUG